CUCCUCCUCCAUAAAUCCAAACUCAUUUCUCGAUAAACAGAUAACCUUGAUUUCAAUAGAAAGAGUGACUGAGUAUAUUCUGAUAUAGCGGAAGGGGAAUUCAUGGAGACACCAAAAAUAAUGAACUUUGGUGGUUCUUUGUCUGUACCUAGUGUUCAGGAAUUGGCCAAACAAUCACCUGCAAAGAUCCCAGCUAGGUACAGACGUAAUGAUCUGGAGUAAUAAUAUCUCCGGUAUGUGUAUGAUAGAUCAAACGGUACCUGUUAUUAAUUUGCAAAAUUUACUUUCUCCAGAACCCAUAUUGAACAAGCUUCACUCUGCUUGCAAAGAAUGGGGUUUCUUUUAGGUGGUAAACCAUGGAGUUGACAGUUCAUUGGUAGAGAAAGUGAAAUCAGAAAUUCAAGAUUUCUUCAAUUUCUCUUUGGAUGAGAAAAUGAAAUUUUGCCAGGAAGAAGGAGAUCUGGAAGGAUAUGGACAAGCUUUUGUUCAUUCAGAAGACCAAAAGCUUGAUUGGGCAGAUAUGUUUUACAUUCUCACUCUACCCCAACAUCCGAGGAAACCAAGGCUCCUUCCCAAACUUCCACUACCUCUCAGGUUACUUUUAUGUCUCAUUUGCUUUCCUAGAAUGUGAUUUCAUUCACCAUUCAAGCAAAUGUGAACAUGUCAAGCUUUUUGGCCUGCGUGCAUAUGAUUCUAUAACUGGCUGGUUCAUCUCUUCAUGUAUACUAAUAAUAAUACAGAGGAUCGGGAACCGAGGAUUACAUAAUCCAUAGUUUGAACAAUAUUAUAACAACUCUGAUCGAGUUUUACAAGAAGAGUUUUAAGUGUUUUGCUUGUUUCUUCCUGUAUAAGAAAUUUAUAGAAAAUUACAACAUAGUAGGUAGGAAAUUCUUGAAUCAUUUCCUUCCUGAUUCUGUAACUAAAAAGAAACAAAAAAUUUCUUACAAAAGAAUUUUGAAACUAAAAUGAAAAUAAUCAAAUGCACCUUACAGAGAAAACAACUAAACCAAUCUAUCUACACCUUUUUCACCUUCUCCAAAGAGUAAUUCUUUUUACUCUCUGUAAGAUAGAGCCUCUUUUUCUCAAUACCGGCCAGGAAUGAGAAUUAGAAACAGUAACAACAGUUAUACAGACUCUUACUAUCUUCGUGUCUUCUGGGGCAUCCAUCCACCACUGCCUGGCUAUGUUUAAAGUUUAAACGAGUCUGUUUUAGCCUUCUAAUACUUUUUUUACUGUUCUUUCUGAUAACUCACUCAACUUGUUCACCAAUUAGAUCGAGACCCACUAGUAAAAAUG